rnacentral:rRNA from 1 species
UACGGAGGGGGCUAGCGUUGUUCGGAAUUACUGGGCGUAAGGCGCACGUAGGCGGCUUUGCAAGUUAGAGGUGAAAGCCCGGGGCUCAACUCCGGAAUUGCCUUUAAAACUGCAUCGCUAGAAUUGUGGAGAGGUAAGUGGAAUUCCGAGUGUAGAGGUGAAAUUCGUAGAUAUCAGGAGGAAUACCGAUGGCGAAGGCAGGUCUCUGGGCUGACACUGACGCUCAUGCACGAAAGCGUGGGGAGCAAACAGG